AGCCGCGGUAAUACAUAGGUCCCAAGCGUUAUCCGGAUUUACUGGGCGUAAAGAGUCUGUAGCCUGAUGUGUAAGUCUGUUUUCAAAUACUCCGACUCAAUCGGAGAAAGGGGAUAGAUACUGCAUAUCUGGAAGUUAUUGGGGGUUAGUGGAAUUUCCGGUGGAGCGGUGAAAUGCGUUGAUAUCGGAAAGAACGCCGAAAGUGAAAACAGCUAACUACAAUAAACUUGACGGUCAAAGACGAAAGCUUGGGGAGCGAACGGGAUUAGAUACCCCGGUAGUCCAAGCUGUAAAUUAUGCAUGCUAGAUGUUUUGUCCCGAUUUUCGGGGUGGAGUGUCGUAAUCUAACGAGUUAAGCAUGCCGCCUGGGUAGUAUAUUCGCAAGAAUGAAACUCAAAGGGAUAGGCGGGGGAACACACAAGCAGUGGAUUAUCUAGAUUAAUUGGAUAAUAAGCCAAAAAUCUCACCUAAACUUGACAUGUACUAUGUCCUAUGUGAAAGCAUAGUAGUCCAAGCAAUUGGGCGUGGUACACAGAUGGUGCAUGGCC
rnacentral:rRNA from 1 species